rnacentral:rRNA from 1 species
GAUGAACGCUGGCGGCGUGCCUAAUACAUGCAAGUCGAGCGAACGGACGAGAAGCUUGCUUCUCUGAUGUUAGCGGCGGACGGGUGAGUAACACGUGGGUAACCUACCUAUAAGGCUGAGAUAACUUCGGGAAACCGGAGCUAAUACCGGAUAAUAUUUUGAACCGCAUGGUUCAAAAGUGAAAGACGGUCUUGCUGUCACUUAUAGAUGGAUCCGCGCUGCAUUAGCUAGUUGGUAAGGUAACGGCUUACCAAGGCAACGAUGCAUAGCCGACCUGAGAGGGUGAUCGGCCACACUGGAACUGAGACACGGUCCAGACUCCUACGGGAGGCAGCAGUAGGGAAUCUUCCGCAAUGGGCGCAAGCCUGACGGAGCAACGCCGCGUGAGUGAUGAAGGUCUUCGGAUCGUAAAACUCUGUUAUUAGGGAAGAACAUAUGUGUAAGUAACUGUGCACAUCUUGACGGUACCUAAUCAGAAAGCCACGGCUAACUACGUG